GACCAUGGAGGAUCUGCAGGACACCUUCAUAGUUCACACCAUAGAGGAGAUACAGGGUCUGAGUACAGCCCACGAGCAGUUUAAAGCCACUCUCCCUGAUGCGGAUAAGGAACGCGGUGCCAUCCUGGGCAUUCACAAUGAGAUCGCCAAGAUAGUGGCCACCUAUCAUGUGAACAUGGCUGGUACCAACCCUUACACCACCAUCAACCCUCAGGACAUCAACGCCAAGUGGGACAAGGUGAGACAGCUGGUGCCACAGAGGGACCAGGCCCUGAUCGAGGAGCACGCCCGCCAGCAGAACAACGAACGUCUCCGGAGGCAGUUUGCCAACCAAGCCAAUGUCAUCGGGCCCUGGAUACAAACCAAGAUGGAGG